rnacentral:rRNA from 1 species
CUUUUCGCUGAUCGCACGGUCUCGCACUGGCGACGCAUCUUUCAAAUGUCUGCCUUAUCAACUGUCGAUGGUAGGUUCUGCGCCUACCAUGGUUGUAACGGGUAACGGGGAAUCAGGGUUCGAUUCCGGAGAGGGAGCCUGAGAAACGGCUACCACAUCCAAGGAAGGCAGCAGGCGCGCAAAUUACCCACUCCCAGCACGGGGAGGUAGUGACGAAAAAUAACGAUACGGGACUCAUCCGAGGCCCCGUAAUCGGAAUGAGAACACUCUAAACCCUUUAACGAGGAUCAAUUGGAGGGCAAGUCUGGUGCCAGCAGCCGCGGUAAUUCCAGCUCCAAUAGCGUAUAUUAAAGUUGUUGCGGUUAAAAAGCUCGUAGUCGAAUUUGUGUCUCGUGCCGCCGGUUCAUCGUCCGCGGUGUUAACUGGCGAGUCACGAGACGUCCUGCCGGUGGACUUAGCUCGCAAGGGCGGUUCAAUAAUCCUGUCGCGGUGCUCUUCACUGAGUGUCGAGAUGGGCCGGCACGUUUACUUUGAACAAAUUAGAGUGCUUAAAGCAGGCUAAAACUUCGCCUGAAUACUGUGUGCAUGGAAUAAUGGAAUAGGACCUCGGUUCUAUUUUGUUGGUUUUCGGAACGCCGAGGUAAUGAUUAAUAGGAACGGAUGGGGGCAUUCGUAUUGCGACGUUAGAGGUGAAAUUCUUGGAUCGUCGCAAGACGAACAGAAGCGAAAGCAUUUGCCAAAAACGCUUUCAUUGAUCAAGAACGAAAGUUAGAGGUUCGAAGGCGAUCAGAUACCGCCCUAGUUCUAACUGUAAACGAUGCCAACUAGCAAUCCGUCGACGUUCCUCCGAUGACUCGACGGGCGGCUUCCGGGAAACCAAAGUUUUUGGGUUCCGGGGGAAGUAUGGUUGCAAAGCUGAAACUUAAAGGAAUUGACGGAAGGGCACCACCAGGAGUGGAGCCUGCGGCUUAAUUUGACUCAACACGGGAAACCUCACCAGGCCCGGACACCGGAAGGAUUGACAGAUUGAGAGCUCUUUCUUGAUUCGGUGGGUGGUGGUGCAUGGCCGUUCUUAGUUGGUGGAGCGAUUUGUCUGGUUAAUUCCGAUAACGAACGAGACUCUAGCCNGCUAACUAGGCGCAUUUUGACAUCCUAAAGGCCCGCCGGCUUGGGGUUUCGGCUCCUUGUCGCGCGCGGUUUUUACUGUCAGGGUAUAAACAAUUUUUCUUAGAGGGACAGGCGGGUUNUANCCGCACGAGAUUGAGCAAUAACAGGUNUGUGAUGCCCUUAGAUGUUUUGGGCCGCACGCGCGCUACAANGAAGGAAUCAGNGUGUCCUCCCUGGCCGAGUGGCCCGGGUAACCCGCUGAACCUCCUUNGUGUUAGGGAUUGGGGNUUGCAAUUGUUCCCCAUGAACGAGGAAUUCCCAGUAAGNGCGAGUNAUAAGCU